rnacentral:rRNA from 1 species
UACGAACCGUGCGAACGUUGUUCGGAAUUAUUGGGCUUAAAGGGCGCGUAGGCGGCCUUCUAAGUCGAACGUGAAAUCCCUGGGCUCAACCCAGGAACUGCGUCCGAUACUGGCUGGCUUGAAUUCGGGAGAGGGAUGCGGAAUUCCAGGUGUAGCGGUGAAAUGCGUAGAUAUCAGGAAGAACACCCGUGGCGAAGGCGGCUCUCUGGGACGGUACUGACGCUGAGACGCGAAAGCGUGGGGAGCGAACAGG